GGGAUACGACGUACGCGGGGGGAGGGGGGCGGCUGCUCGCAGCGGGCUGGGCUGGAAGUUACCAGUAUCAGGGUAGUCGGCAAAUGAAGCAAAAAUGCCCCGCGGGAGCCCCGGCCGCGUUAGGCGAGGCGGGCUCGGCAGCCCCCCGGGGCCGCGGAGCGCCUCUGUCCCGACUCUCUCACGGGGGCGAAGGCUGCGGAUGUCGCGUCUGUCUGAGUUUUUACUGCUGCCGGCGCAUCAUAGACACUGGAUGAUCAAUGAAUCUUCAGGCUUCUAGGAAUAUUUGCAAGAGGAGGAGGAAUACCGUGAACAUGAGGACGUGCGAAAGAUGGUGAUGCUUGCAACCUAUGGCUGAACUGGAGGUAAUUUAUGGGUGGAUCAAUAACAUGCUAAGGUUCUUGAAAGACUAUUAAACAGUAGCAAGCGUGAUUUGCGAUUAAAUAAUUUAAAUUGUGUAUUUAUCUUGCAUUAACUUUAAGUAAUGAUUAUACCUCAGAUCAGAAGAUUUGUUCAUCGUUACUUACUGCUUAGAGUCGGGCACAAAAACAAAGCUAAUAUCCGGCCUUGGUCAAACUGAUCUCUAUAAAAUACUGUUUUCUCUAUCAGAUUUAAAUAAAUGAUAAAUAAUGAUCGGCCUUUAUGAUCUGUCAUGCAUCUGUGCUUUUCAGAUCGAGUUUGGGCCUUGUAAAAAUUAAUACAGUUGUAGACAAUGAAAAUGACAUUCAGCAGCAAUGGAUGUAAACAAGGAAAAUUGUCAUUUAUUAAACACACUGAUUAAUGUUACCCCUCAGAAAGCACAUUUAGAAUUAAAAGGAUAUAAAAAUUAGACAGGAAAAAAGUCUUUUGUAAUCAGAGAACUUGGAGCUUUCAACGGGUGAAAGCUUUUAAAAAUUUCAAAUUAAACCAUAUUUAUGUGAAACUGACACAAGGGGCUUUAGAGGUGGAGUUUUAUAUGUCAGUCUCCAAGGCCCACAAGCCAAACGUUUGGAAGCCUAGAAUCUUGCCUAGCCCCUGCUGCUUUGUGCUUAAUGUGGUGAAAAGGCUUGCUGCAACCACCCUUUAGCUUUAUUAUAUGAAUAUCUGUGAGAGAAAGGAAGUUAAUAUGUCUGUGAAAAUAUAUAUAGAAAUACUUAAAUGGGCAACUGAGUAUCUAUUCUACUUAUUAUUAUUGCUUAUGUGGGAUUUUCAUGUCCUAAAAGUACUAAAAUUGUAACCUGUAUAUUACUGUAAAGUAUAAUUAUGAAGUAAGCUAAUAAUUCUUUAUUAUAUAUUUACUUCUCUACAUAUUGAAAAUAAAGGUAUUGUAACAAGUCUGAUCAGUUUUUCUGUAACUCCGGUCAUCUGUUUUCUUCCAAAUAUCUGUAUCUCCCUUUUACCAUUUUCCUAGGACAGUAACUGGCCUACAUUUUAACCUCUGUCUCUUAAUCAGCGCUUCAAAUAAUUGUCAUGAUGGUGUAAUCACACUUAUUAUCAAAUAAAUAUUUUUUUAAUGA